rnacentral:rRNA from 1 species
UACGUAGGGUGCAAGCGUUAAUCGGAAUUACUGGGCGUAAAGCGUGCGCAGGCGGUUAUGCAAGCCAGCUGUGAAAUCCCCGGGCUCAACCUGGGAACUGCAUUUGUGACUGCAUAGCUAGAGUACGGUAGAGGGGGAUGGAAUUCCGCGUGUAGCAGUGAAAUGCGUAGAUAUGCGGAGGAACACCGAUGGCGAAGGCAAUCCCCUGGACCUGUACUGACGCUCAUGCACGAAAGCGUGGGGAGCAAACAGG